rnacentral:rRNA from 1 species
AACGAACGCUGGCGGCAGGCCUAACACAUGCAAGUCGAACGCUCCCUUCGGGGAGAGUGGCAGACGGGUGAGUAACACGUGGGAAUCUUCCUGUUGGUUCGGAAUAGCUCAGGGAAACUUGGGGUAAUACCGGAUAAGCCCGAGAGGGGAAAGAUUUAUCGCCGACAGAUGAGCCCGCGUCUGAUUAGCUUGUUGGUGAGGUAACGGCUCACCAAGGCGACGAUCAGUAGCUGGUCUGAGAGGAUGAUCAGCCACACUGGGACUUAGACACGGCCCAGACUCCUACGGGAGGCAGCAGUGGGGAAUAUUGGACAAUGGGCGCAAGCCUGAUCCAGCCAUGCCGCGUGAGUGACGAAGGUCUUCGGAUUGUAAAGCUCUUUUGGCGGGGACGAUAAUGACGGUACCCGCAGAAUAAGCCCCGGCUAACUUCG